rnacentral:tRNA from 1 species
GGGCCCAUAGCUCAGUUGGUUAGAGCAGUCGGCUCAUAACCGAAAGAUCCCUGGUUCGAGUCCAGGUGGGCCCACCA